rnacentral:rRNA from 1 species
UAGGGAAUCUUCGGCAAUGGGGGGAACCCUGACCGAGCAACGCCGCGUGAGUGAAGAAGGUUUUCGGAUCGUAAAGCUCUGUUGUUAAGGAAGAACGAGUGUGAGAAUGGAAAGUUCAUACUGUGACGGUACUUAACCAGAAAGGGACGGCUAAAUACGUGCCAGCAGCCGCGGUAAUACGCAUGGAGCGAGCGUUGUCCGGAAUUAUUGGGCGUAAAGGGUACGCAGGCGGUUUAAUAAGUCGAAUGUUAAAGAUCGGGGCUCAACCCCGUAAAGCAUUGGAAACUGAUAAACUUGAGUAGUGGAGAGGAAAGUGGAAUUCCUAGUGUAGUGGUGAAAUACGUAGAUAUUAGGAGGAAUACCAGUAGCGAAGGCGACUUUCUGGACACAAACUGACGCUGAGGUACGAAAGCGUGGGGAGCAAACAGG